rnacentral:lncRNA from 1 species
CAGAAGCCUGGAGCGAGGACAAGAAACAGGGGUGAGUUGAAUCUCCGCUUUCAAAACUGCUGAAUCAGUUCUCUACUUCACACCUGCCUUACCCAUGCAGAACACAGACAAUCAGAAUAAAAACAAAAUUCAAAACGCUUAGUAUCCAUUGCCUAUGACUGCAUAACAAGUGACAGCAGACUUUUACAGUGUCAAAUUACAAGGAUUUAUUAUAUCUUAUCAUUUUCUGGGUUGGCUGGGCUCAGCUGUGUGGCCCUACUGGUCUUACUUGGAUUCUGUUAUGCAGUCAUUGGCAGCUCCCUCUGUUGAGGGUCUAAGAUGGUUUUACGUCUGGCUGUGAAGCUUGCCAGGGUCUCACUGAGUUGCUUAGCGCCUUAUUUCACAGAAGCUGGCUUUGAACUCACGAUCCUCCUGCCUCAGCCUCUGGAGCCACUGGGAUUAUAGGCAUGUGCCACCGUGCCCGACAGGGUAUCAGCUCUUUAAGCAACCCAAACACACUAGUUCAAGACCCCAGAGAGCUCCCACAAGAAUGCUUUCAAGGGCUGGGGCUGGGGCUCAGCGGUAGCACACUUGCCCUGGCAUGUGUGAGGCACUGGGUUUGAGUCUCAGCAUCACUUAUAAAUAAAUAUAAUAAAGGUCUAUCAACAACUGAAGAAAUAUAUUUUUAAAAAAGAAUGCUUUCAAGAAGCAUGGAGUAAAUUCCAAACAACAGGGAAAAAAAGGAUAAGAAACUAAAUGAUAGUAGUCAUGUAGUGAAGAAAGUAUGUAUUCCUUCUCUCAACAGCCAAAAAAAAAGGCCAAUUAGAAACACCAGGAAAUAAAUAAUAAAUAUACAAGAAAUAUCAAACAAAGAAAAAUGUAUAAUUUUGAAAAUUUGAUAGUUUAAGUAUAUUACACUGAUAGCAUUAAUGGUAGCCCUGUCUCCACACCCUUUGGUAGACUCAAUUGUAUUUGCCGUGAGACUUGAUUCAGCCAAUAGUACAGUGGCAAAUUACGCAAGAGGAAAACAUGAAAAGAGGCUUGCAAAAUCUCUACUUUCUCUCAAAGCUUUGCUGCCCCCAUGAGAACAAAUGUUGGUUAACAUGCUAGAAGGAGUUGAAUGGGCUGGCAUAUACCUGUAAUCCCAGUGGCUCAGGAGGCUGAGGCAGGAGGAUCACGGGUUCAAAGCCAGCCUCAGCAAUGGCGAGGCACUAAGCAACUCAGUGAGAACUAUCUCUAAAUAAAAUACAAAAUAGGACUGGGGAUGUGACUCAGUGGUUGAGUACCCCUGAGUUCAAUCCCUGGUACUGCAAAAAAAGCUAGAAUGAUAUGAAAAAUAACAGAGGAAGACUAAGCCAAUUACCACAAGACAAUCUGAGAUUGGCCAGUGUUCAGCACAGUCCAGCAGACAUGGGAGUGGACCUAGAGCUCAGUCACAUUCAGAGUCACAGAACUACUCAGCUGACCCUAGACUGGUGAGAGAUAACAGAUUGUUUUUGUUUUAAACCACCAAAUUGGGGGUGAUUUGUUACACUGCAAUAGCUGACUGAUGCAGAAACAAAGGGCAUAUUUUAUUUGAAUACUAAAAAUAUGCUUCUUUAAGUGAUAAAGAGACAUUUGACCUGUUGUCAAGGAAAUGUAGUUUUGGCAUUUCAUUUGAGUCUAGUCAGGGGCAAUAUUUAUAUCAUCGUCAUAAUGUGGACUCUGUUUUUUGAAUUUUAAUAUUGAAGAAUAAAUUAAAAACAAAACCUAGGCCAAGCAUGAUGGUGCACACUUAUAACCCCAGCUACUCAGGAGGCUGAGGCAGGAGGAUCGCAAGUUCGAGAGCAGCCUAGAAACUUAGCAAGACCCUGCUGGGGAUGUAGUUCGGGGGUAGAGAGCUCCUGACUUCAAUCACUAAUACAGAAAAAAUAAAUAAAUAAAUACCCAGAAGGCUUCAUUAUGGUUACAAAACAUUCAUUCUGUUUUGUAACCAUAAUGAAGCCUUCUGGGUAUUUAUUUAUUUUUAUCAACUUAAGAAAUGUACUUUAUCAACCUAAAAAAUGUAUUAUCAACCUAAGAAAUGGAAAAGUCAAAGGACAGCUGAGAAAACUUGAAAGGAGAGCAGGGGGCUUGAGAAAAGGGGGAAGAAGGCUUAGCAGCACUGUGUGUUCGUCUUUGGUAGGAUCAGGAGUACUGUCAGAAGUUGAGGGAACAAGCACAGAGGUAAGUAAAUGAUUGAAGGCUGAAAGAUAACCAACCAGUGCAGGGAGGAGAUAGAAAAGCCAAACCAAAUGAACACUCCCUGUGUGUUUUUUUUUUUUAAUUGAGAUAUGGAAUAUAUGCAAUGAUAUGCAUGCAUUGCAUAAUCUUAAGUAAACAGCUUGAUGAAUUUUUACACGUGUGUAUAUCAGGGCAACCAUCACCCAGAUUGAGAUGUAGAACAUUGCCAGCACUCCAAAAAAUUACCUCGUGCUUCUUUCUCAUCAAUCCACUUCCUCUUAGAAGUAGCUUCUGUUCUGACUUCUGCAUCAUCCAUCUGUUUUGUCUGUUCUUGAUCUUCAGGUAAGUGAAAUUUAAAAGUAUGUACUACAGAUGGACAUUAUUCCCCUUUGUACCUGUAUGAUUGCACGAAUGGUGUGAUUCUGCCUCAUGUACAACCAGAGAAAUGAAAAACUGUGCUCCAUUUGUAUACAAUGAGUUGAAAUGCAUUCCAUUGGAACAAAUUUUUUUAAAAGUUUAUACUAGUAUGUUUUUCUCCUUUCACCAAACAUAAUGAAAUUCACUUACAUUGCUGCACAUCUUUGUAGUUAAUAUUUUGUUGUUUAUUUUCAUUGAACAGAAUUGAACCCAGGGGUCCUGUAUCACCCAGCUACAUCCUCAACAAUUUUUUUAACAGAUUCUCUCUAAAUUACCCAGGCUGGCCUUGAACUUGCAAUCCUCCUUCCCCAGACUCUCAGAUUGCUGGAAUUACAAGUAUGCACCACUGCGUCAAGCUGUUCAUUCUUUUUUUUUUUAAUCAAUGUAAUAUCCCAAAUUCUUUUUUUCCCAUAUUUUUAUUGGUGCAUUAUAAUUAGUUAAUUUUUUAUUGCAAUGUGAUUUUCCAUUGUAUGACUACAUCAGAGUUUAUCCAUUUUUCUGUUGAUGAACAUUUGGGUUGUUUGGGGCGAUUAUGAAUGAAACUGCUAUGGGCUUUCUUGUAUUUGUCUAUCUUAUCUAUUGGUGUAAAGCUCGCUUUUUUUUUUUCCUGGUGGUAUUGGGGAUUAAACCCAGGAGCACUCUACCACUGAGCUGUAUCCCCUCUACCACAGCCCUUUUUAUUUUAUUUUGUGACAGGGUCUCACUAAGUUGCUCAGACUAGAGUGAACUUGAAUUCUCUGACUUAGCCUCCCAAAUCGCUGAGAUUACAAGUGUGCACCACCAUGACCAGUAUGAAGUUCAUUCCUAACUCAGGUCAUUUUUACUUGCAGUUUCCUCUGCUUGGACCAUGUUAUCUCCAGAUCCUUAUAUGGCAGGCUUCUUUUCACCAUUGAGGUCACAGCUGUCAGAUGGUGGCUGGGAGGAACAGCAUGGGGCUGGAUCAUUGGGGACUGGCUGGGAACCUCUCUCUUCUUGUAGUUUCAGGGCCUCUCCUAUGGUUUGUUUAGGUGUUAAUUUGGCUGGAUCACUUGGGGAUUAGCUGGGAACCUCUUCUUGUAGUUUCAGGGCCUCUCCUAUGGUUUGUUUGGGUGUUAGUUUGAGCUUCCCCACAGCAUUGCAGCCUCAGGGCAGCUGGACCAUUUACGUGCCCACUAAAAGUUUCAAGAGCAAAUAUUCCAGCAACUAAGGAAAGCUCCGUUGCCUUUUAUGGCCUGGCCCUGGAGUUCAUACAGCAUUGCUUCUGCCAUGUUCUACUAGUUACAGGUAAGUCAUCAAACCACCCAAAUACAAGGGUAAGGAAAAUAAGCUCUGUGUCUUUUUCUCCUUUUGGUGCUGGGGAUCGAACCCAGGGCCUUAUACAUGUGAGGCAAGCACUCUACCAACUGAGCUACAUCCCCACCACUAAGCUCCUUCUCUUGAUGGACAAGUGGCAAUAUUAUAGAUGAGCACAUGAGAUGGGAGAUGCUGUUACAGCCAAUUUUAGGGUGAUCCACUCCAUCCUUCUGUUCUAAACCCUAUUUUGUUUUCUUCAUAGUACCUUUUACUAUUGGACAUUAUCUUAUUUAUUUCUUUGUUUUCCACCAGUCAUCUUCCUUUACUAGAACAUAUGUUCUAAAAUGGCAGGAACUCUUAUUAUUCUCUACCUUUUCACUAGUACCUGAAUAGUACCUGUACAUUGUAGGUGUUAAACACAUUUUUUAAUAAAUAAUAAGAAUUUUGUAGCAGAGGAUCAAUAGCUGCCUCAGGAUUAUAAAACAAGUAAUGGAGGGGUGGAGUUGUAGAGCACUUGCCUGGCAUGUGUGAGGCCCUGGUUUUGAUCAUCAGCACUGCAUACAAAUAAAUAAAAUAAAACAUCCAUUAACAACUAUAAGAUAUUUUUUAAAAACUAGUAAUGGAAGUAUAAGCACAUUUUUAGAGAUGUAUACUUAACUAAAAAAAGAACUAAAACCAGAAAUAGUUGAAAGUGGUUACCUGUAGGGUACAAGAUGAGGAGAGGAAAGGUGGACAGAGAAUUAGAGAUUUUCUGUGCCACUUGUACACAUGAGACUUUUUUUUAAGUUUCUUUUUUUAAACUCUUUUUUUUAAUAUUUAUUUUUUAGGUGUAGAUGGACACAACACAAUGCCUUUAUUUUUAUGUGGUGCUGAGGAUCGAACCAGGGCCCCACCCGUGCUAGGCAAGCUGCUCUACCGCUGAGCCACAAUCCCAGCCCGAGACUUUUAAAAUUCUAUGCAGUUUUAUUUUAAUAUUAAAAUUUUGAAAAAUUAAAAAGUUAAUUGUAGAGCUGGAUGUGGUAGCCAAACCUGUAAUCCCAGUAGCUCAGGAAGCUGAGGCAGGAGGAUCAUGAGUUCAAAGCCAGCCUCAGCAAAAUAGAGGCACUAAGCAACUCAGUCCCUGUCUCUAAAUAAAAUACAAAAUAGGGCUGGAGAUGUGGCUCAGUGGUUGGGCAUCCCUGAGUUCAAUCCCCAGUACAAGAAAAAAAAAAAAACUCGUUAUAGAAAAUAUAGGAAAACUGGAAGAGAAUACAAAACUAACAAAACAUUAUUUGUAACACCACCACCUAGAGAUUGCCAUUGGAAACAUCUUGGUCUUUUACCUUCUUGUUCAAAUUAUUUAAAACAGACUACUUUCUAUCUUUCCUUUUCCACUUCUUUGUAUUAAUUAUAUUGUAAAGAUUUGCUCUGGGCUAGAAAUGCUACCUGGAAAAAAGUGUUUGCCUAAGGUUUAAAAUUCUGUCAUUUCCUGUCUACCCUACUUAGAGGUCUGUAUACUUCUUUUUCUUUUCCUCUCUCUACCCUUAUAGUCCACCCCAAACAAUCCUCUUUAACCCACUCUGACCCCCACUUUCUUUCUCCCCUGUUCAGGGACUUUAUGAACUCAUCAUUUAUUCUUUUUCCUCAGUCACAGAACAAUAGCGUGUGGGAUUUGUUGUUGUUGUUGUUGCUUAUAGCUAUUACUGCUUCACCAAAACUUGAUGGUUUAAAACUAAAACCAUCCAUUUAUUAUUUUCAACAAUUCCAUGGGCAGAAAUGUGAACAGGGUACAGGUCCCGAAUCUCCCUUCUAAGUGAUGGAGUAUAAUGUCCAACAUAUUUGAUGCUUUAGAAUGACUGCAAAGGGUGAGACUGAUUACAAUAGGGGUCAUGUGUCUUGGACUUCAGCCUAAGUUGUCAAUCAGAAGCCAGGUCUCUGUGUGGUAUCUCCCUGUGAGAUCCUUCUGGUGGAAUAGUCCGCCUUCUUGCAAAGCAGCUCUGGAAGGGCUAGGGCUGUAGCUCACUGACAGAGCACUUGCCUAGUAUGUGCAAGGCCCUGAGUUCAAUCUUCAGCACCACAAAAAACAAAACCCACACGCAAAGCAGCUCUGGGCUCCCAGUUAGACUUGGAACUCAAGGGCAUUUCUUGAAAGUCGCAGGGAUAGACUAGAUUCAGGAGUAGGAACAUAGGGCAUCAGCACCAAUAGGGGCAGGUCACUGGGAGCCACCAUUGUAACAAACCUCCCUUGCGUCAGGCAGAAGUGAAUUCAAAUCCUCUCUUCUUGGUUUACUGACUAUCUGGCCUUGGCCUAAUUUCUUAACUUCUCUGAACCAUUAUUUCCUUGCUUAUCUGUAAAAUUAGCAGGAUGUAAUUCCUCCCAGGUAGGAUCAUUCUGUGUUUUGAAUUGUAAAUUGUACUGGCACCACUACUGCAUGGAAUUUCAUAGAAAGGACUCAAACACUAGAAAGACAUGUAAACUGUAAACCUAAGAGAAGUAAGCUCCUGGAAACCUGAAGAAAUCUUCACAAGGUCUUUAUUUAUUUCAUUAUUGUAUUUUUUUUUUUACAGUACUUGGGAUCAAACCCAGGGCCUCAUACAUGCUAAACAAGCAUUCUACUAUUUAGCUACAUCCUCAGUCCUUUUUUGAGGGGGGAUGGGGGGAAUGUGAAUUUAAACUUCCAAGGAACCAAAAGUUGGAUCCAAAGGUAUUUAUUUAUUUUUAAUUAAUUUAUUUAUUUAUUUUAUAGUAAAAUGCAUUUUGACAUAUUGUAUGCAAAUGGAGCACAACUUCUUAAUCCUCUGGCUGUACAAGAUUCAGAGUCACUCCAUUAGUGUAAUCAUAUAUGUAUAUAGUGUAAUAAUAUCUGUCUCUUUCUACCAUCCUUCCCAUCCCAUAACCCAACCCUUCCCCUCACUACCUCUACACAAACCAAAGUUCCUUCAUUCUUCCCUAUCCCCCAGCCCCACUAUGGAACAGCGUCCGCUGAUCAGAGAAAACAUUGGGCUUUUACUUGGGGGGGGGGGUGUUGGCUUAUUUCACUUACCAUGAUUUUCUCUAGUUCUAUCCAUUUAUCUGCAAAUGCCAUAAUUUAAUUCUUCUUUAAGGCUGAGUAAUAUUCCAUUGUUAUAUGUGCCACAUUUUCUUUAUCCAUGUUGAAGGGCAUCUAGGUUGGUUCCACAGUUUAGCUAUUGUGAAUUGAGGUGCUAUAAACACUGAUGUGGCUGCAUCCCUGUAGCUGAUUUUAAGUCCCAAAGGUAUUUAAAUCUGAAGGAAAAUACAAAAAAAAAUGCAAUCCCAAUGGAAAAAAAAAAUUGAUAUUGUUGAUUCUGUUGUAUGGUUGUGGGCAUGCAGAAUUUCUUCUCCCACCCCCCUCCAUCUUGGCUUUUUUUUUUUUUCGCUUUACCAACCUCUGGGCUUGAUUUUAAGUUUACUCUUUCUCUUCUUACCUCUCAUGGCAUAGUAACUUUUUAUUCUCUCCAAAAACUUGGAGCUUCAAGAAACUCUCCCCAUGUUCACUGACUUCCCCUUGUGAAAAUUCUUUGUACAAAAUGGACAGGGGGGUGGGGGCUAGGGAGGUAGCUCAGUGGUAAGGCACUUGCCCAGCAUGUGGGAGGCACUGGGUUCGAUUCUCAGCACCACAUAAAAAUAAAUAAAGGUAUUGUGUCCACCUACAACUAAGAAAUUAAAACAAAAACAGAAUGAACUUGGACCUGUCACAGCCCACUUGAGUGGGGUCAAGGGACCGUGGGAAAGAAGAGUAAAUACUCAGGUCUCCAAUGCCUGCUCCAGGAACUCUCUCACAGAACCAACCCCCCAAAACAGCCUGCCCUAUCUUAAGACUCUUUUAAGACUGGGAUCCUAAUUAGGAUAAGUUAUACUCCAUGUAUGUCUCAUAAGUGAAAAUAUACUCUACUGUCUUGUAUACCUAAAAAGAACAAAUUUUUUAAAAAGACUGUUUUUACUUAGGAACUGAUGACAGAACUGCCAACUCUGACCUCAAGACUCACUUUGAAUUGUUAUGACACCAGUCAGGGCUUGCCAGAUCCCUCAAGCAACAAAAGUGCUAGUUGAGCUUUCAUUCCCAACAACUUGUGCAGACUUCUCUGUCACGAUAAAGCCCUCAACCUCUCCUUUGCUCUCCCUGUAUCCCAGAGGUCACCCUGGCCUGUCCUUGUGUGGCCUGGAUUGCAAUCCUAGUCUUUGUUCCCAAAGAAAAGUUCCUUUGUUGGAGACGCCUGUGUACAUUUCUUGUUUGACUUUGACACUCUCUAGAAACCUCCCAAAGCCUAGUUCCCAUAACUGGUUACCUCUUAAGGCAGAAGAAACAGAGCUCACACCCCAUAAGAGGUCCUCAGAACUGUGCCCUUCUUCCUGGCCUCCUGCCCGGUCCCUUCCACUAUUAGGCCCCUCCUCACAGACUGUUUGAGGCUCCCGGGAACUAAAGAGAUUUGUGAGUAAGUGACCUUUAACCCAAUGAGAAUCCUCCACCCACAAUCUGGGCUAAUCUUCUUAGGUGUUAAUAUUUAGCAUUACCUUGUACUACUCAGCUCCCUGAACCCUACUCAGCAAAACCUUUUAAAACGCUUCCUUACUUCUUCUCCCUACUUUUUGUCUCGGUUGCUGUUGUUUUGAGCUGGGGUUUUACUGUGUUGCCCAGACUGGCCUUGAACUCCUGGGUUUAAGUGAUCCUUCUGCCUCAGCCUCCCACACAUAGCCAGGACUACAGUACCUGCCAUUGAGCCUGGCUCCCCUACUCUUUUAAUGGGAAUUUCUGGUGUAGCAAAGGUCUGGUAAAGAAGACUAUUCCUCUGAAAACCAAGCAUUUGAUGACAGACACAAGAAUGAUUUCUCAGAGUUGCUAUCAAUCACAGGCACAUUAUUAAAGCACAUUAUUAAAAAUCUGUAAUAAAUGUACCAGUGAAGAAGGUGAUCAGUGCUUUUAAAGCUUGGAAGAGCAGAUUCUGGUUCUGCAGGUCCAGGGUGGUAUCUCAGCUUCUGCAUGUCUACGGAAGCUCCCAGGAGACAUUGCUACCACUGCUCCUGCUGCUGCUGCUGCUGCUAUUGCUGGUGUAGGAGCCAUGGUCAGAGUGUUAUUUAUGGUUCUCCAGAGAAACAGAACCAACAGGACAUGGACACACACACACACACACACACACAUACACACACACACACACCUCUGGCCAAAUUAUUAUAUGGUUGUGUAUAGAUAUUUAUUAUGGAAAUUGGCUCACAAAUUAUGAAAACCAAAAAGCCCCACAAUCUUCUGCUGUCAGAAAACACUGAUGAUGUAAUUCAGUCUGGGUCUGAAGCCCCCAAAACCAGGCACUCUGAUGUCUGAGGACAGGAGAUGGAUGACUCAGAUCAAGGAGAGAGAGAUCUUGUCUUUCUUCUACCCUUUGGUUCUAUUCAGAUCCUCAGUGGAUUGGAUAAUGUCUGCCUACGUUUGUGGGGUGGAUCUUCUUUAUUUAAUUUACUGACCCAAAUGUUAAUAUCUUCUGGAAAGACCCUCCCAAACACAUUCAGAAAUGGUGUUUCAUCAGCCAUCGGGACAUCCCUUAGCCCAGUCAAGUGGACACACAAAAAUUAACUGUCACACUUAGCAAGGAAAUGCUACUAAGUAGUAUGGGAAGGAAACGACAGGCGAAGGAUGUCUUCCUGCAGCUCACAGCCAGCAAACAUCUCUGUUUUUCCAGGCAUCCCUGAACAGUCAAGGGCCUGGGUAUGGGGUCAGAGAGAGCUGUGUCCAACUCUGCUUUCCAUUUACUGUGUGGUCUCUGCCAAGUCAUUUAACUUGUCUGUGACCCAGUUUCCACAUGUAAAAACGGGGGUGGAGAUCAUAUCUGCUUCACUGAACUGUCAAGGAGAUUUUAUGCCACCGUGAGUCUGAUGGCUUAGCAGAGUAUCUGGUACAGAGUUGGCCUCUAAAAGCAGCGCAGAGUCUUGCUAUUGCAGGGACGGAAUCCAGAGACUAAGCAGACUACGCAAGAUUCAGCUAAGCAAGGGCCUGCUGGCUUCAGCUUUUCCAUACUCCCAGUGAGGAUGUGGCUAUGUUUUCACAAUUCCAGAUUUAAUAACAGCCAUGUCAGUGGAUGUGCUCCUGUGUUCUCUGAUUAAAUGGACAUACUUGAGUCGCCCCAGGCAAAAUGAGGUCAUGCAUCAGAAGCCUAAAAAGAAAGCUUCUUUCUAAUUCCCUGUCACACCCUCUGAUGUUGAGGUGUCUUUCACCAGUUUUGUUUUCUGUUUUUAAGUCCAUGUGACACCGUUGCCUCAGAUUCUUCUCAAAUAGCAGAAAAAAGAAAACAUUUCAGAGUUCUUAUGAAUUUUCUUCUCACACACACACACACACACACACACACACACACGGCUAUUCUUUGGGUCCCUAUACUCCCUUCCUAAGCUUCUGGCUUUUCCAGACCUCCUAAUUAAACUGCAAUAGCUGCAUAUCCUUUUAAAGGAUUUAUUCUGGGCCAGGUAUGGUGGUAUUUGCCUGUAAUUUCAGAAACUCUAGAGGCUGAGGCAGGAGGAUCACAGGUUCCAAAUCAGCCUGGACAACUUAGCAAGAUCCUGUCUCAAAAUAAAAUAAAAAGGGCUGAGAAUAUAAUUCAGUGGUACAGCGCCCCUGGGUUCAAUCCCCUAAACCACUAAUUAAUUAAUUAAUUAAGGAUUUACUCUGUUUUGCUGGAACUCUUAAACCACUUGAAAAAAAAACUACAGCUGGGCGCGGUGGCACACGCCUGUGAUCCCAGUGGCUCCAGAGGCUGAGAAGGAGGAUCCCUAGUUCAAAGCCAGCCUCAGCAAAAGCGAGGCGCUAAGCAACUCAGUGAGACCCUGUCUCUAAAUAAAAUACAAAAUAGGGCUGGGGAGGCUCAGCAGUAGAGUGCUCGCCUGGCACGUGCGGGACCCUGGGUUCGAUCCUCAGCACCCAAUAAAAAUAAAUAAGUUAAAUAAAGGUAUUUAGUGCAACUACAACUAAAAAAUAAAUAUCUUAAAAAAAUAGGGCUGGGGAUGUGGUUCAGUGACCGAUGGUACUCCCCGCUCCCAAAAAAAAAAAAAAAAUACAGAUAGCUCUGCCGACAACCAGAAAACGGAACUUUCCAAACUUUUUCUCUGGGUUUCUGCCUGUUUUGAUUCUUACAAGUUACACCCACAUGUUGUUUAAAUUUUACUGAUGAUUCAGCAGAAGCUGCCACCAGCAAAACCAGUUGUUUUAAUGGCUGAGAACACCCUUGCUGCUGGCCUGAUUUUCUGUGAUGAUGGCAACAACCUGAUUCCUGGAGGUAAAACUCGACUCUCUCUCUCAAGAUGCUUGGUAAGAAUUGUAGCGACAGCACAUAUAACUAAUUCAUUAACUUAGAUCUCAAAUUUACUUCUUACUUAUAAGACUGGUUCAUUUUAGUUGUAUAAAAAAGAACUAUGUCUUGAGCAAAGUCCUCCUCUUUUCGUUUUGCAAAAUGAAGGAAAACUCACAAGUUGCAAUUGCUCCAAUUCUUAACCUAAAAGACCCCAAUUGGGCAGUGGGAAGUACAAAGUAUAGCACUGCUAAGAAAUUAAAGCAAAGGGCUGGUGCUGGAGCCCAGAGCGUUGCCUAGCAUGUGUGAGGCACUGGGUUCAAUCCUUUGCACCACAUAAAAAAUGAAACAAAUAAAAUAAAGGCAUGCUGUCCACCUACAACUAAAAAAAAAAAAAAGGAAAUAAAUGAAGUAAUGAUUAUAGUGAUGGGGGAAAUCAAAGCUGAUGCCCAAAUAGUUCAUUUCAUUAGCUCAGAAUGUGUAUUUACCAACCUGGUAUGAAUUUCAGAGGCAUUCCUAAAUUUCAUUUUGUUUGUUUUUGUUUUUUAGGGUUUCACUUACUCCUUUGUUUUAUUUUUACCUUAAAGCUACUUAACACUAAUUAGUAUAUUGAAUGUUUUAUAUUUCUAAAACAAACGUAUGCCAUGAGAUAAAUGAGCUGAGGAGAAACUUUGAUAAAGAAAAAAAUAUAAACAGAAGCAGGAAAAGUGAAAGUUUGGUCUUUCUGCAGAGUCCACAUACUCAGGCAAUGUUGAAAUUCAGCACAAUGGGGACAGAAAAGGAAGACAUAAUUUCACUGGAUUCUUGGAGGCGCUCAUUCUCAAUUGAAAGCUCCCAAGCAGUCCUCCAAAUUCCAAUUUUUUAUGAUCCCUUAGAUCAAUUUGUUAAAGGACGUAAAUGUUAAUCGUUAAUGUCUGAUUAUCUAUCUUGUUUUCUUUAAGCAUUACCUGUUUCCAUGGGCAUAAGAAGAGUCUCUGGCUGGGAUAUCAUGGAAGAAGUUUCUGAACUGGUAGACUUCUGACAAGAUUAACGACCCCCAGGUUUUCUCCUAAUUUCAAGAUUCAACAAAAGUUCUGGAAUGUUCUUGGGUUGAUUUUGUUUUGUUUUGUUUUAAUUCCACAGCCUUUGGCAUUCCAGUUCAGAGGACAAGUCUGAUAGUCUCCAUUCCUUUCAUUUUAUCAACUCUUAACAAAAGCUACUAGGCUCAGGCCAAAGGGGUAUUUUGACAUGAACAAUGCUUCUCAGGAAAAGAAGUGCCCAAAUUUUUAUCCUGUUAUUUGAGUGAAAGUUCUAAGUCCUUCCCUGAUGUUCCCUGGAAUUGUGAUUUAAUGACUAGUCACACCAGAACGGAACACAUGUUUCUACUUGCAAGAUUAUUAAGCACAUUACACAGUUCCAUUAUUGCCUUCCUGAGUCACCCUGCAUGUACUAGUGUCUGCGUAGAUUGCUUUUCAAAGGGUUUAAUAGAGAAAAGUGUUAGAAUACGUGUAAUUAAAUUCACUUAUUUUUACUUUAGCUUUUAAUUAUUUUUAAUGUAUUGACCACAGAGUAAGGAGAAAGUAUAGUAAAGAAAAAACAAUAUCAGCACUUAAUGUGGAAGGUUAUUGUUAUUGUUUUACUAAUAGAAUUUUGAGUUACAUAAGUGAACUGGAUAUACAUCAAUCAACAAUUUUCUCUAACAGGGAUUCUUACGUUUUGAAGUAUUUACCUUUAGAAAAGUAUCUGUUUCAAUAAGAAUGAUUCCCCAGGCUGAGGCUGUGGCUCAGUGGUAGAAUGCUUGCCUAGCAUGUGUGAGGCACUGGGUUCGAUUCUAAACACCACAUAUAAAUAAAUAAAGGUUCAUCAACAACUAAUAAAAUAUUUUAAAAAAAAAGAAUUAUUCCCAUAAAAAUUCUAUGUGUUUUAGAAUUUUAUAUUGAAAGCUCCUCUUAGGCAAUCCCAAUAAGCAUACUGGAAAUUAAUAUAAAAAUUUGACAUUCAACUUCUAAGAAUUUAAAACAUCUCUAAGAUGAUGUACAAUCAAUCAACAAAUACAAGAAAAAAUGUUCAUCAUCACCAGCAAUUAGAGAGAUGCAAAUCAAAACCACUGUAAGAUUUCAUCUCAUUCUAGUCAGAAUGGCAGCUAUUAUGCCAAUAACAAAAGUGUUGGCGAGAAUGUGGGGGGAAAAGUACACUCACACACUGCUGGUGGGACUGCAAAUUGGUGCAGCCAAUAUGGAAAGCAGUAUGAAGAUUUCUUGGAAAAUUGGGAAUGGAACCACCAUCUGACCCAGCUAUUCCUCUCCUCAGUCUAUGCCCAAAGGACUUAAAAACAGCAUACUACAGGGACACAGCCACAUCAAUGUUUAUAGCAGCACAAUUCACUAUAGCUAAACUGUGGAAGCAACCUAGAUGUCCUUCAGUAGAUGAAUGGAUUAAAAAAAAUGUGGCAUUUAUACACAAUGGAAUAUUAGUCAGUAAUAAAAGAGAAUAAAAUCAUGGCACUUGCAGGUAAAUGGAUGGAAUUAGAGAAGAUAAUGCUAAGUGAAGUUAGCCAAUACCAAAAAACUAAAUGCUAAAUGUUUUCUUUGAUAUAAGGAGGCUGAUUCAUAGUGGGAUAGGGAGCAGGAGCAUGGGAGGAAUAGACAACUCUAGAUAGGGCAGAGGGGUUGGGGGAAAGGGAGGGAGCAUGGGGUUAUUAAUGAUGGCAGAAUGUGAUGAUCAUUAUUAUCCAAAGUACAGGUAUGAAGACACAAAUUGGUGUGAAUAUACUGUGUAUACAAUCAGAAAUACGAAAAAAUGUGCUCUAUAUGUGUAAUAAGAAUGGUAAUGC